AGCGGUGUCUCGCCGUUUCGCUCAUUGGCCCCGUCUAAGUCCAUUAAUUGCAACCGAAGCUCUUUUUAUGGAUUUCUCACUUAUCCGCAUGAAGACAAUACAAGGACCAGCCACACCAGCUCUCCUGACCAGAAGGACCAUGGACACAGACGCAGACGUAGAAACAAAGGCUUGAGCUGGCACUUAGGAGACCAAUGGCCUCAACAUACCCGAGGGUGCUGUCUAUGCACAUGCACAUAUUAGAAGUGGUGGAGUAUACUACUGACCUGAGCGAAGGCUGGUGGAAGGAACAGG